CAUGUUAGGCUACUGUCCCGCAGGUUCACACAUCAUAGACUUUAGACGCCCACCCGUUCUCGGUGGUCCAAACAUGACAUCAAACAAGUUCAAUGACACGUUCACAUUCUCAUUCUCAAUCUCAUUCUUAUUCUCAUUCACUUUCUCAUUCACUUUCUCAUUCUCAUUCUCAUUCAUUUACACUUAGACUCGUACUCAUACACGUUCAC
rnacentral:lncRNA from 1 species